CCACCCCCCAAACAACGCCAAAUUUGCACUCAAGCCCACUGUUGCAAUACCUACACAUUGGGUGUACUCAAGAUGCAAAAAGCCAUUAAAUUGGCAACCAGCAGCUAUGCUACCUCUGAAAAUUGUGUGGCAUAAUGUCCCACUUAAGGUUGUCCAAGCACUUCUUUAAAUACAGUCCUCAAGGAAAAACUUCAGAACUUUCCCAGGGAUAAGAAAUUAAAAUAACUAAUCCUACACGCUUGUUCUUCUACCAGAAAUCAAACUCCCACCAUUACCAAGUUUCCAAUUCCAAGCGGAAAAAGAGCAUUCCCUGCUGACAUCAGUUCUAAUCAAUUAUCACCAAAUUUAGAACCUCAUGACUAUCUACAAGGCCCUUUUCCUUACUAUAGCAUUGGUA
rnacentral:misc_RNA from 1 species